GCUCAGGGCAAACCCUUCGAAAGACGGGGGCGCAAAGCUACAGGGGCUACAGCGGAUCUGCCGCCAAGCCAGCCAGCUGCCGA
rnacentral:ncRNA from 1 species